CAAUCCUGGCGGCGAGUGGCGAACGGGUGAGUAAUACAUCGGAACGUGCCCAAUCGUGGGGGAUAACGCAGCGAAAGCUGUGCUAAUACCGCAUAAGAUCUACGGAUGAAAGCAGGGGAUCGCAAGACCUUGCGCGAAUGGAGCGGCCGAUGGCAGAUUAGGUAGUUGGUGAGGUAAAGGCUCACCAAGCCUUCGAUCUGUAGCUGGUCUGAGAGGACGACCAGCCACACUGGGACUGAGACACGGCCCAGACUCCUACGGGAGGCAGCAGUGGGGAAUUUUGGACAAUGGGCGAAAGCCUGAUCCAGCCAUGCCGCGUGCAGGAUGAAGGCCUUCGGGUUGUAAACUGCUUUUGUACGGAACGAAACGGCCUUUUCUAAUAAAGAGGGCUAAUGACGGUACCGUAAGAAUAAGCACCGGCUAACUACGUGCCAGCAGCCGCGGUAAUACGUAGGGUGCAAGCGUUAAUCGGAAUUACUGGGCGUAAAGCGUGCGCAGGCGGUUAUGUAAGACAGUUGUGAAAUCCCCGGGCUCAACCUGGGAACUGCAUCUGUGACUGCAUAGCUAGAGUACGGUAGAGGGGGAUGGAAUUCCGCGUGUAGCAGUGAAAUGCGUAGAUAUGCGGAGGAACACCGAUGGCGAAGGCAAUCCCCUGGACCUGUACUGACGCUCAUGCACGAAAGCGUGGGGA
rnacentral:rRNA from 1 species